rnacentral:lncRNA from 13 species
AUGGCUUCAGUGUUUUCUCCACAGUAUGUAGGUCAUGAGGAGGACGAGGCCUGCGGACAGAGCUGCUAUGACACACUGGUGGAUGGUGAGGACACUCUCCAGGUUGCCGAUGCGUUCCUCCAUGGCACUGGUGUGGAAGUAGUCAUAGACCCCGGCCCCGAUGCUCCACACGGCCCACACAGCAUCCACGAUCAGGGGCAUGGUAGGUCGUCAGAGGGGCUGAGGCUGGUGCUGAGGCUGGGGGGGCCCAGGGGUGUCACAGGGGUGGGACUUCAGGGUUUAACCUACACCUGGGACAUGGAGGCGUGGAAGAUCAACGCCGGCUUGGGACAGGGCUGGCGUGUCAGUUCAGGGUCUCUCCAGCCUCUCCCGGGUUCCUCCUGCAGUAGUGCUGAUUUCAAGCUUUCCUCACCUGCAAAGGAACGGUUGGGAAUGUAGUUUUACCAGGUUAUAUAUAAAUGCAAUAUUAUGAAUAUAGAAUGGAAUAUGAAAUUCAGUUGCGGUAAGUAACAUAGGUAGGCUAAUCUGUUGUAUCUAAAUGAGAACUGGCAUGGUCAAAAAAGUGAAACACGCACACGUAUGAUCUUAUAGAACACAUUUCACUGCCCUGAUUCAGGGAACCUGAAUAAUACUGUGUGUUCCACGGAACACACAUGUGGAACUUAGCUUCGUUUCAAAGCUCAGGCUAACAACAUUGUAACGUUAUUGUAGCUAGCUAACAACAUUGUAAUGUUAUUGUAGCUAGCUAACAACAUUGUAAUGGUAUUGUAGCUAGCUAACAACAUGGUAAUGGUAUUGUAGCUAGCUAACAACAUGGUAAUGGUAUUGUAGCUAGCUAACAACAUUGUAAUGGUAUUGUAGCUAGCUAACAACAUUGUAAUGGUAUUGUAGCUAGCUAACAACAUUGUAAUGGUAUUGUAGCUAGCUAACAACAUGGUAAUGGUAUUGUAGCUAGCUAACAACAUGGUAAUGGUAUUGUAGCUAGCUAACAACAUUGUAAUGGUAUUGUAGCUAGCUAACAACAUUGUAAUGGUAUUGUAGCUAGCUAACAACAUGGUAAUGGUAUUGUAGCUAGCUAACAACAUGGUAAUGGUAUUGUAGCUAGCUAACAACAUGGUAAUGGUAUUGUAGCUAGCUAACAACAUUGUAAUGGUAUUGUAGCUAGCUAACAACAUGGUAAUGUUAUUGUAGCUAGCUAACAACAUUGUAAUGUUAUUGUAGCUAGCUAACAACAUUGUAAUGGUAUUGUAGCUAGCUAACAACAUUGUAAUGUUAUUGUAGCUAGCUAACAACAUUGUAACUUGUUACAGUGCGGUGCACAUAUCAGACAGAUAAUAGUAUUAGGACCAUAUGUAUUCGAACAAAAUGCCAUGAAUUUGCAACCUUCGGUGACCACUUUUGACAAUGACACCGGUACAGAACUGGAUGUACUGUAUUGAUCUCAUAUAGUUAGCUAGCCAGCUACAUCUUUGCUGAGCUAGGAACAUGCCUAGGACUUACCAAAAUGACCCACGCGCACAGGUUAAAAUGAGCCACGCUUGCAAUCUGCAUCCAAGUUCUCUAUCUAGCUAUAAAUCACAUAAUCGUCAACAUAUAACGUUUGAAUGGUCGAGAUACCAAACCGAGCUAGCAACAUGAUCCUUAGCUUAGUCACCCAGUACAUCCGGGUGCAGUGCUACAUUCAGGAACACGUGGACAGGGCGUGUCCUAAAAUAGCGUCAUUUACAAUCGAUCACUGCUGAUAAUAAACACAAUACGUAUCCGGCAUCAUCAUCAUCAUCAUCCUAUUUUGCUUUCUAGCGGCUAAAGUCACAUUUUGAAAACGACCCGUGUAGCUAACUUCCAGUAGCUAGCUACCAACGUCAGUUUUAGCUAAGCUUAGCUAAGUGGUCAACUGGAAGAUGACACGGUGUGUCUUGGUUUGGAGAUGUAUGUUUGAGAUUGCUCGUCAUAAAAACGUGCUACUAUCAAUAAACAUAUUUGUAUCAUCCAUAACAUUUUCCAAACGGAUUCAGUCAAUUGGCAGCAAAAAGGUUUGAAAACUCAUAUUUUUCCUUCGCACUAUUACCAGGCGCGGUGGCCAAGUGGUAAGGCGUCGGUCUCGUAAACCGAAGAUCGCGGGCUCGAUCCCCGUCCGUGCCUCGGAAACGAAGUCCACGGUGGACACAUUUUUAAAACGGGACAGUUCCAUCGUGAUACUUCAUGGUGAUAUUUGAUACAUAUUUCAAACUCAAUAUUAAGUUAAUGCGUUGAUAAAACGUUUAAAUCUCAACCAUGUAAAAGUUAUAUGCUAAAAGACUUCUCAUACAUAAAUGGUGUUCAUCAAGACAAUAAAUUGUAGACAUCAAGGUAAAAACAAGUUUAGAGCUAAAACAAAUCUAGGAGAAAUCAAAGUUAAACAGUUUAACAGCUAAAAAUCUUAAACUUUUGUUUCAGACGUUUAUUUGGCACGCCCC